rnacentral:rRNA from 1 species
UGGUUGGAUCAUGUAGAACGCCAUCCUUCAGUUUACAAAUUCGAAUAGGAUAUCUCAUCAAAUAGUGACUUAGGUCCUACCAUGUAAAAAACUUAAAUGAUAUGUUU